UACGUAGGUGGCAAGCGUUAUCCGGAAUUACUGGGCGUAAAGCGCACGCAGGCGGUCUUUUAAGUUUGACGUGAAAGCUCCCGGCUUAACUGGGAGGGGUCGUUGAAUACUGGAAGACUUGAGGCAAUGAGAGGGGUGUAGAAUUCCCGGUGUAGUGGUGGAAUGCGUAGAUAUCGGGGGGAAUACCAGUGGCGAAAGCGGCACCCUAGCGUUAGCCUGACGCUCAUGUGCGAAAGCGUGGGGAGCGAACGGG
rnacentral:rRNA from 1 species